GUGCACUCUUUGAUGCACUUGAUAUGUCCCAUCUAGCAAGUUCCUUUUAGCUUUAAAUGCAAGUUUUUUGUAGCUUAUAUUUUAUAAUUCAAGUACUAGCACCUUACUGUAUUGUGUGUCCUGAGCACGGUGACAGCCUCCCUGACCACAUCGCCGCUGAUUAUUGUGGAUCCGCGUUGCAAGAAGCUUAUCCUGGUUGCUCAAAAAUGUGGCAUGGAGAGGAAGAAAAAAUAUGUGGGGUCAUGCUCAAUUUUGUCUUUGCCAGUGGGAGGGUGCCUACGGCGAGAUUCCAGCCUGUCCACCGUGAGGAUAUCAGCAGUCACUUAUGUACCAAGAAUCUUUCAUGGAUUCAGUUUUGAGGAACAAGGCUUGGCACAUAACUCUUUGCAUGGAAAUCUUUAAUUGGUGUUCCAUGUGCCCGACGAGCGACCAAAGACAAGUGACAAAAAGGCUUUGAUUUCCUUGGCGAUGGAACUUACAAUGAUGCACUCCAUGGUCUUUAUUUUCUAUGUGUGAGGACAUCAUGUACUCGCUAUAGCAGAAGACAUCAAUCUUAAUACCAUAGUGUUGUAAUGAAGCUUCAUGUGAAGCCAUAACUGUUCACUUCUUAAUAGUUGGAUCAUUCAGUUUAGGAAUAUAUGAUGCAUUGGACAUCAGAGAUGGACUGAUGACAAGUCUGAUUACCUUUGGAGAUGUGAUCUCAAUGUUCGUUCACUUGCAAUCCUUUUUAUUGAGAGGGAAGAUAUUUUACAUGUAUAGCAAUUUACUUCAAUUGUGGUGUCCCUACCCGAAGUUCAUCCAUGGCUACUGGACUGAAAUGGGGUGUGGCGCCUCAGUCCCCAAUAGGAAGGGCCAGAAGUGUCGAAGCGUCGUAUUGUUGAUUUCAUUUCUGAAUAUCAUGGGGAUAUGUGGGCUGUCUCUGAAUUACAACGCGCCCUCGAGGAGUACCUGCAUGUGGUUCUUGGUUUAACAGUGAAAGGAGUACCUACUCAGCAACAGCAGCAGAGGAGGGGCAGAGGAGGCCGACCAUAGGCGGGGCGAGUUCGUGUCGAAUACGAGCUGCAGGUGGUCGAAGCAGUAACAACAGUAGGCGUCAGUGGCGCUUGUGGCUCCGACCACCGCGUAAAGAUGGGGUGAGGCCUUCACGGAGGCCACAGGUGGCCGUGGCGGUGGGAGAAGGUGUUGGAAAUAUGCCCUAAAGGCAAUAAUAAAAUGGUUAUUAUCAUA